UUUUAAUCUUGUAACGAUUUUGAUGAAGUAUAACUUUUAAUAUAAGCUUAUACUAAUUCAUAUUGUGGCAUAUGUCAUUGAGAAGGCAACCAAAAAUUAAUAAAACCUUCCCCUAGGUGUGGUGAAUAAAUUUUACGACUAACAACAAUCUUAAUUCAGUACCAAUGCCAUUUCUGAAAACUGGCACAAACUUGCAGAAUACAGGCC
rnacentral:lncRNA from 1 species